rnacentral:rRNA from 1 species
UACCUGGUUGAUCCUGCCAGUAGUCAUAUGCUUGUCUCAAAG